AUUGAACGCUGGCGGCAUGCCUUACACAUGCAAGUCGAACGGCAGCACGGGAGCAAUCCUGGUGGCGAGUGGCGAACGGGUGAGUAAUGUAUCGGAACGUGCCCAGUCGUGGGGGAUAACGUAGCGAAAGCUACGCUAAUACCGCAUACGAUCUAUGGAUGAAAGCGGGGGAUCGCAAGACCUCGCGCGAUUGGAGCGGCCGAUAUCAGAUUAGGUAGUUGGUGGGGUAAAGGCUCACCAAGCCGACGAUCUGUAGCUGGUCUGAGAGGACGACCAGCGACACUGGGACUGGGACACGGCCCAGACUCCUACGGGAGGAAGCAGUGGGGAAUUUUGGACAAUGGGCGCAAGCCUGAUCCAGCCAUGCCGCGUGCAGGAUGAAGGCCUUCGGGUUGUAAACUGCUUUUGUACGGAACGAAAAGGUUUGGCCUAAUAAGCUGAGCUCAUGACGGUACCGUAAGAAUAAGCACCGGCUAACUACGUGCCAGCAGCCGCCGCGG
rnacentral:rRNA from 1 species